GGUAAAAUCCACAUCCCAAAUCAAUUUCAGCUUAUUAUAAAACAGAAACCCUAAAAUUCUUCCACACUUUCCUUUCAAUUUUUGAAACCCUAGCCACCACAAUCUCCAACCUCAGCCCGUCCCCACGGUGACCACCACAGCCGCACCAGUUUGCGGCCAUCUAACUCUGUUAUCUGGCGGUUAAAGUCACUGAUAGGUUACUGUAACCAUAACUCAUCUCUCCUGCGCGAUCCCAGUGGCAUCCGUCGGCUUAUCCAAAUUCCCUUCAUUUUCACAGCUAUUGCAUACCUCAAUUGCCGGUAACUUUUCGAGGAGCAUGUGAUUUGGUAUUGUAGAUGAGAUGGACUGGAUAAAAACGGAAUGGUGAACUUCAAGGAAUUUCUGUUUGUAUUCACUACAGAGCUGCAUAUAUCUGUGUGUAUUACAUUAUCUCUAAUUGUUGUAUCGUUACCAUGUUUCUCUGACAUAACUGCCAAUUUAGCAAGGUACAAUUGGUUUGGCUACGGAUGAAUAUCUGUUUGGUGUUGUUCUUGGAGGAGUUGUGUAAGUGGCCUUGUGAUUGUGUUCCUUUUUUAGACGUGAUGUGCAUAUUACACACAGCUAUGGCUUCAUCACCACUGUCAAGGCCGGUUGGGUUGUAGGCUGGUUUCUGCAUAAGGCAUGGACACUGUGUAUGCAUUAUGCAAUUGAAGGCGGAGCUGGAACAUACAGUGGAAAAACAAGAAGAAAGGUCACAAUUGCUAACUCAGGAGAAAAACCCAAGAGCAAGUGGGAUGAGGAAAGAUGAGCCUCCUUCGGACAGUUUUAGAUAAUUGAUUCACCUUUUUUUUCUCAUUGUGUUAUGUUCAUGAAAUUUAAUAAAAUCUUGACUAAGAUCCAACAGUCAUAGGUGCCUCUUGGAAAUACUUUAUUUGGCCUUUUGUAUCCAAUAACUGUUCUUAUUCUAUGCAAUGAGCUUGACUAAGCUUAGUUAUUGCAUUUCUUCUCUGGUUGCACUUGUUUUCGGUGGUGAUGUUGAGGGGAGUUUGCUGGAAGUUUGGUGGUGUGGUGCUGGGGCUUUUUCUGCAGAUUUUUGUUGCUGCAGUGUUGCAUUUGUGCUGGAAAAUUAUAAAACUCCAUGAAAAAUGCAGUUUAUGCAGU